AACGAACGCUGGCGGCAGGCUUAACACAUGCAAGUCGAACGCCCCGCAAGGGGAGUGGCAGAUGGGUGAGUAACGCGUGGGAAUCUACCCAGUUCUACGGAACAACACAGGGAAACUUGUGCUAAUACCGUAUACGCCCUAAGGGGGAAAGAUUUAUCGGAAUUGGAUGAGCCCGCGUUGGAUUAGCUAGUUGGUGGGGUAAUGGCCUACCAAGGCGACGAUCCAUAGCUGGUCUGAGAGGAUGAUCAGCCACACUGGGACUGAGACACGGCCCAGACUCCUACGGGAGGCAGCAGUGGGGAAUAUUGGACAAUGGGCGCAAGCCUGAUCCAGCCAUGCCGCGUGAGUGAUGAAGGCCUUAGGGUUGUAAAGCUCUUUCAGUAGGGACGAUAAUGACGGUACCUACAGAAGAAGCCCCGGCUAACUUCGUGCCAGCAGCCGCAGUAACAC
rnacentral:rRNA from 1 species